UACUGUUGGAGUGUUUUGUUAUUUCAUGACCAAGCACAUAUAUGUGCGACUUUGUAGGUUUAGUGUGAUCUGAUUCAUUUUGGAAUAGCUUAAUUGGUUGUGAAAUUCUAUCAAGAGGUCCUGCUUCUGCUUCUGCUUCUUCUGCUUGUGAUUCGAGAGAUCGAAAACAGAUCAAUUGUGAUUCCAAUUCACGCUCCAAAGUCUAAAAGAUUGACUCUCUUGAGUUGAUGAUAAAGGACAAGACGGUCAUUUCGUUGGUCAAAGAGAAUCACCAUUAUAGGGUGCAAGAAAAGCCACUUCUGUCCACCAUUAACAAGAAGUCGUUAACCACUUGGAUGCCCUUUCAGAGCUAUGAAAACCUAGUGUCUUAUCUUUGACAUCAUGAAUAACAUGCUAUAAGAUCAAGAUGAAUUCAUCAAUUUACGACUUCAAACGAGAUGAAUGCUUCUACCAAAUGUUGUUGCAUACUUAUGCAUAGUAUUUAGAGAUCAAACCAAAUGUCUUUCAUCGGAAUUAAUAGCCAUGGAGGUUAAAAUAUUAGUCAUAUAUUAUAUAAAAAAUAUUAUUAUCUUUCAUAUUCAAAAUUAUCGCUAAGCGAUUCACAUGUAUAUCCAAUGAGGGUAAAGAAAAUUGUCAGUUUGCAGAGCUUUCAUUUCA